rnacentral:lncRNA from 1 species
CUUGGAAGCUUAUGUUUUGUCUGGAAUUAAGUUGGCACAAGUAGAGACAUCCUGAGACAUAAAGUGAAAAGGACCUAGAAGGAACUACUGGAAGAAAUAUCACCCCUAUUAAACUGGGCAAUUUUGUUUAAAUAUGAGUGUUCUGGAGGAAACAUGCAUUGUCACCAGGCUGGAUGGGACCCUUUCAAGUGCCACGAUCACUCAUAUGGGUAUCAGAGUGAAAGAAAAACCAGAUGGUUUCAUGCUUUCCAUGUGAAGCCAGCUCCUCAGGAGGACUAGACUGCAGUUUCCACAAAGGAUUUGAAGUUUAAUUUCCUAGAGUGACUAAUAUUGGUAAUGAACUCAACUGAAAGGAGGUAUUCUAAGGAAUGUAUUAUUCUGACUACCUUGCUGUCCUAGUUGCAAUAGUGUUUUGUUCAAUUACUAUAAGAAUCACAUUUUAUUAGAAAAUAAACAUGUUAUUUGUUACACCACUUUUUCUUUCUGUACUCCCAAUAAUGGUUCCUACAGUCACAUUUCCUCUCUCCUCUGAAUUGUAUUCCCAGUACAGAAAUGCUGGGCCUGCAUUUAUGAAUCCAACAGUCUGAUUAUUGGCCAAAUAAACACAAGACCAUGUUCAUUACUAUGUUUUAAUAUCAAAGUAAAAGUAACUACUAUGCAUCCAGAAACCAAAGCCCUAAAUUUCACACAAAAAAAUUUGUUAACUGGUUUGAUUGGAAGUAUAGUAUAGAAAAGAAAUGCAUCUAAUUAAGUGUCUGGCAUUUAUGGAUAGAGACCUCAGAAGACAGCUCUAAUGUCAAUCGAUUAACUUGAGAAUAGAAGUUUUCUCCAGUCCUACUAUGGAUAGAUAAACAAAGGUGGAUAUGCCUGUUAUCUAUGGUUAUUUAGUUAACUGUUAUAAUAAUAUAACUACUGGUUUGGACCGAGGUAAGAAAUGGCCCAAAAGUUGGCUUUGUCCUCCAGACUUAAAACUAUUAGAGCCAUGUACACUAAACACUGGAAAUUCAAUCUGUGCCCUUCAACGGGUACUUCAUAAUAAGACUUUGAUACUAUAUAAUGGCCACGAGUGUCUUUGCAUUUUGCAUCUGGGAGAAAUUAUUUGGGAAGAUGGGAUAAUUACCAAAAGGCCUAGUUUAUCCUAUAAAUGCAAUAUUACUCCUGUGACUGCUGAGAACUCAGAGGAAAUUCAUUGGGCCUUACAAGAAAAACUCAGUUAAAAAACAUAUAUUAUCAGGCUCCAGAGUUAAGCUAUUAACUCGGCUAGGAUAGGGAUUUCUUUCUUUUUUGUUUGUUUGUUUGUUUUCUGAAGAUGGAUUCUCACUCAAUAGCCCAGGCUGGAGUGCAGUGGUGCGAUCUCAGCUCACUGCAACCUCCGCCUCCUGGGUUCAAGUGAUUCUCCUGCCUCGGCCUCCUGAGUAGCUGGGAUUAUAGGCAUGUUCCACCACGCCAGGUUAAUUUUUGUAUUUUUAGUAGAGACAGGGUUUCACCAUGUUGGUCAGGCUGGUCUCAAACUCCUGACCUCAUGAUCCGCUGGCCUCAGCUUCCCAAAGUGCUGGGAUUACAGGCGUGAGCCACUGUGCCUGGCCAGAUUUCAUUUUCUAAAACUACAAAAUAAUACUCAAGUAGUUAAUCAUUUGAAAGCAGAAACAAAGACAUGACAACAGUUUAUAAAAUUAAUGUAUCAUGAGGAUAAUUUUUGUGUAUGGCUAAUCAAAUAUCUGCUUUAACCAUUCACAACUGGUAUAUUUAAAGAUUCCCCCAAGAAAAAUAUUGUACUAAUUUUUGAUUCAUCCCAUUAUAAUUCUGAUAAUUGCUUUAUUUUGUAUUUUACCAUGGACUUGCUGGAUAUAAAUAUCUAAAGACUGCUGCAAACUGCCCAGAGAAAGGUUAAAAUGUCAGAGUAAACAAUUGGAAAACUGUAGUUUUAGUAGAAAAUAGUAACAAGGAAAAUUGUAAGGGUAAAUACAAAUCUAAAAAUGAAUUUUAAUUUAAAAUUUUCCUCAGUGCAAAAAGGAAAGAACUAUUCCCCCUCCCUUUUCUUUCAGCAUUUCCUUCAGAAAAUGGAAUUAUAAAUAAACUUCUUGCCAGUUUUGCAUCCUAGGAAUGUCAUUCUUUUUUUUUCUUUUAUUAUUAUACUUUAAGUUUUAGGGUACAUGUGCACAUUGUGCAGGUUAGUUACAUAUGUAUACAUGUGCCACGCUGGUGCGCUGCACCCACUAACUCGUCAUCUAGCAUUAGGUAUAUUUCCCAAUGCUAUCCCUCCCCCCUCCCCCC